AAAAAGCAUGACUGCUUGAAAGCUGGCUGCAGUUGCGGUGUAAAGAGAGUAAAGAGUAACAAAAUUUCGGGUGUACCUAGAUUCUUAUUUUUCAAAAUCAAAACGCAGAUGCUGUCCCGGAUAUAUAGAAAUGCUCGUUACCAAUUAAUCCUUUAAAAAGGUCACCAAUAUAUAUAAUCAAUCUUGUCCUGCUGCAGGCUGCAGCUGAUGAAUUCUGUACUAGUAGUAUUUUGCCAUCUGAAUCUGAAUCUGAAAGAAAGAAAAAAAGCAGUGAGAGGCAACAAGUAGUCGUCAUGGAAGAUUUUGUACGUAGCUAAAACAUGUGAAAGCAACAAGCAGAGGAUGAGGAAGCUACAAGAAGCUGAAAGCAGUGCUGCCACUGACGAACUAAUCCCUAAUUCAUUGAUUGAUUGAUUGGACUGAGCUAAACCAGAUUUAGAGCCAUAGAGAGGGGAGGAUGAGGAAGCUGCGGUGCCGCACCUCCGCGACCUCCGACCCCCGCCGCCGCCUCGAGUCGACCAUCCACCCAUUCCGCUGCCGCCCCGACUCGACCUCCUCUUCCCGGAUAAGCU
rnacentral:lncRNA from 1 species